UGGUGCACACAGGUGCAGUGUGUUAGGCACUAGUGAAGGCUACUGUGCAAGCGCAGAGAGAGGCACCUGCCUGAGUCAUUGGGGAUCAGAAACAUCAGUCCAGAGAAAAUAUGACUAGAGGAGCUUAAAAAACAGGGCUUCUCAAAUUUUAAGGUAAAUAUGAAUCACUCUGGGAUCUUGUUAAAAUGUAGGUUCUGAUUCAGUAGGUCUGGAGUGAGGCCCGUGGUUCUGCGUUUCUAACAAGUGCCCAGGAGAGGCGGAUGCUGCUGGUCCAUGGAUGACACUUCUUAAUUGCAAAGCCCUAAAGAGAAAGUAAAGAUUAAUUAGCCAGGUGCAGAGUUGUGGUGGUGAGAACUUCCCCAGAACAUGCAAAGACCCAGGGAGAAAAAGAACAAGAUCAACUUAGGGAACUGUUAUCAGUCCAGUAAACCUGGAUUGUAGAGCAUGAAAUGGUGAGCUAGCACGACAUGGGACUAGAGGCAACAGCAAACAAGCUAGCUGGAAGCACAUUAUGCAGGCUCUGUGAGACUUGGUGAGGAGCUAUGUCUAAUCCUGAGGGCAAGUGAGAUGCCAUUCAAAGUUUUCAGCUGAUGAGUUCCUUUUUCAGAUUUGGGCUUUCCAAAAAGCAUACUGGCUGUAGUCUGGAAAAUGCAUUAGAACAGUGUUCUCAAUCAAUCCUGUUGCUUGUUAGAAUCACCUGAGAGCUUUGAAAAAUACCAAUGCUCAGUCCCCACAUCAGGUAAUUAAAGAGGAUCUCUAAGGCAGAGCUUUUCAAAGUGUGGUCCUUGGUAUCACCUGGGACCUUGUUAGAAAUGCAAAUUCCCCAGCUCUGUCCCACAUUUACUGAAUCAGGAACUAUGAGGAUGGGCACAGCAGUUUGGGUUUUAACAAGCCCUCCUAGGUGACUCUGAUGGAUCACCUUUGAGUGGUAAUGUUUGAGAUCAGUUAGAUUAGAGGGAGAAAAGUAGGAAAAGGGAUAGAGGCUACCAUUAGGAAGCAGAGAGGUGAUGGUGUGGUUUUAGCUCCACAUCAGAUUUUAUUAACCUUGUUGAGCAAAGGAGUAUACCAUCUUAAUGGGAUCCAAGUAGUGUCUCAAAGCAGGCAGGUGAGCAUGCUGGUUAGCCAUAGGGUAGUUUCUGGAUGAAAAUUGGUAAGUGACAUUGGGUCAGGGAUAGGCUAAUUUAUAAACUAGGUAAGCUCUGCCUUGUGAGCUGAAUUGGGUCCCCCUAAAUUCAUACGUUGGAGCCCUAAGCCUCAUUGCGAUGGUAUUUGGAGGGAGGGCCUUUAGGAGGUAAUUAGGUUCAGAUGAGGUCAUGAAGGUGGGGCCUUGUGAUGAAAUUAGCGCCCUUAUAAGAAGAGUCACCAGAGGGCUUGCAAGAUUUCUUUUCUCACUACAUGUGAGAACUUAGGGAGAAGGCAGACUUCUAUAAGUCAGAAGAGAGCUCUCACCAGAAACCAAAAAUGCCAGCACCUUCAUCUCGGACUUUCCAACCUCUAGGAUGAAUACACAGAUCAUGGCAACUCCAGAAUUUCCACGUAAGAAGAGUUUUCAAAGGACAAUCUGAUGGGAGAUGCACUUGACAAGACAUCUGGACGAUCCUAUGAAGGAAAGGCAUGCUUCCCAGAGACUGGUGCUCACUUCAUAAUGGAGCAGCAGGGCUCUGGCUCUGAAUUCUGUGUACUGUUAUUGCCACUCUGACCCAUGCCAGAGUUUUGUAAAUCACAUCAAAAGCCAGAAUAAAUGACGAAAAAGCAACACUGAGAUGCGGCCAGGUGGCCAGAUCUAGAAAAAUUUUUCUUGAUGUUGAGACUACGUUGAAACAACUGACAGAGAAUUUUACGACGAUGAAUUCCUAACCAUCAGAAGCUCCUCAUAAGUAAUCGUUUGUUUAUAUUUUGUUUAUAUUUGGUUAUAUAUUUAUUUAUAUUUGUUUAUAUAAGGAACCCACUCUUCUCUAGUGCUUAAGGGAAAUAUUUUAAUAAACAGCUCUUGUAAGAAAAAUUUAGAGGCAUCUUAAGACAAAAUGUUAUUCAAGUAGAUAGAAAAGAAAGUAGAUAGAAAAACCUCAUAUUCGUGAACCAAUUCUGUCUUGAUGUUGCCUUUCACUUUGGCUAAAGGUUUGCAUGUGCAGCCUUUUCCACCCACCACGUGCCAAUCUCACAAUUUAAUGUACCUGAAGGACUUCAUUUGUACGUGUUGUUCACCAUCUUCCUUUCUACAAAAAAGCAGGAUAAAAUGUCAAACUACAUGAAACAGAUUUUAUUUAAUUCUUGAAAGAGAAAUAAAUGUGAGAUUAAGUACCAUCA